rnacentral:rRNA from 1 species
AGACGAACCGUGCGAACGUUAUUCGGAAUCACUGGGCUUAAAGCGCGCGUAGGCGGCGUCGUCAGUCGGAGGUGAAAUCCCGCGGCGCAACCGUGGAACUGCCCCCGAUACUGCGACGCUUGAGGGAGGUAGGGGCCUGUGGAACUUCCGGUGGAGCGGUGAAAUGUGGUGAGAUCGGAAGGAACGCCAGUGGCGAAAGCGACAGGCUGGAUCUCUUCUGACGCUGCGGUGCGAAAGCUAGGGUAGCGAACGGGAUUAGAAACCCCAGUAGUCC